rnacentral:rRNA from 1 species
AGGACGAACGCUGGCGGCGUGCUUAACACAUGCAAGUCGAGCGGAAAGGCCCUUCGGGGUACUCGAGCGGCGAACGGGUGAGUAACACGUGAGCAACCUGCCCUCAGCUCUGGGAUAGCUCCCGGAAACGGGAAUUAAUACCGGAUAUGACCCUGACCGACAUCUGUCAGGGUGGAAAGGUUUACCGGCUGAGGAUGGACUCGCGGCCUAUCAGCUAGUUGGUGGGGUAACGCCUACCAAGGCGACGACGGGUA